UGGGGAAUAUUGGACAAUGGGCGCAAGCCUGAUCCAGCCAUGCCGCGUGAGUGAUGAAGGCCUUAGGGUUGUAAAGCUCUUUUGCCGGGGACGAUAAUGACGGUACCCGGAGAAUAAGUCCCGGCUAACUUCGUGCCAGCAGCCGCGGUAAUACGAAGGGGACUAGCGUUGUUCGGAAUCACUGGGCGUAAAGCGCACGUAGGCGGAUUUGUAAGUCAGGGGUGAAAUCCCGGGGCUCAACCUCGGAACUGCCUUUGAUACUGCGAAUCUUGAGUCCGAUAGAGGUGGGUGGAAUUCCUAGUGUAGAGGUGAAAUUCGUAGAUAUUAGGAAGAACACCGGUGGCGAAGGCGGCCCACUGGAUCGGUACUGACGCUGAGGUGCGAAAGCGUGGGGAGCAAAC
rnacentral:rRNA from 1 species